rnacentral:misc_RNA from 1 species
CUGUCACUAGUGUCGCGAAGAAAUGACAAUCUCAUUUCAGAACUCCAAAACAUUGGGUGGCGCAGCACUUCUAUUGCCUUUGGCCUCAAUUCAGGGUCAGGAUUUAAUAAACAGGAAAUAAGAUCCUCAGCUUCUGGAAUGUAUUCAACUAAGAAAAGAUCUACUUUGUUUUUGACAAUAUUGAUAUCACGUUCAAGACGAUCCCCAAAUGGAUGUCUACCACCAGUAAUACAGAAAAAGAGGACACAACCCAAACUAAACAAAUCAACUGCACGUGUUUGGCGUCCAUGAAGAAGCUGCUCUGGUGCUUGCCAACCAGAGCUGCCACAGCCAGUAGCAUUAUAACCCAAUGAAGACGUAUCCCCAAGAAGACGCUUGCUGAUUCCCAUAUCAGAAAGCUUCGCACAUAAAGAUCUUUCUUUAAGAAGUAAUACAUUUUGAGGCUUCAAGUCUCGAUGGAUUAUACCCAAUUCGUGUAAAUGCAUAAGCCCAGAAACCACAUCCUUCAUUAGUGCUAAUAGAAGAGGUGAUGGAUGGCCAUUUUCUUUCCACCAAUUAAGGUCCUCCAUUAUACCCUUCACCUUAUCCAGCCAACGUUUAUACUCAAUUGUGGCUCUAGUAGCUUGGUCCUCACCGGAGAUUUGGUUUAGAGAGGAACCAAAAAAUAUCUGAAUCAAAUCGUCUAAGCUGCAUGUACAGCGCUCCAAAGAUAGGUAGACAAAAUCUUUAUCA